rnacentral:rRNA from 1 species
AGUGAACGCUGGCGGUAGGCCUAACACAUGCAAGUCGAACGGCAGCACAGUAAGAGCUUGCUCUUACGGGUGGCGAGUGGCGGACGGGUGAGGAAUACAUCGGAAUCUACUUUUUCGUGGGGGAUAACGAAGGGAAACUUACGCUAAUACCGCAUACGACCUACGGGUGAAAGCAGGGGAUCUUCGGACCUUGCGCGAUUGAAUGAGCCGAUGUCGGAUUAGCUAGUUGGCGGGGUAAAGGCCCACCAAGGCGACGAUCCGUAGCUGGUCUGAGAGGAUGAUCGGCCACACUGGAACUGAGACACGGUCCAGACUCCUACGGGAGGCAGCAGUGGGGAAUAUUGGGCAAUGGGCGCAAGCCUGAUCCAGCCAUACCGCGUGGGUGAAGAAGGCCUUCGGGUUGUAAAGCCCUUUUGUUGGGAAAGAAAAGCAGCAGGUUAAUACCCCGCUGUUCUGACGGUACCCAAAGAAUAAGCACCGGCUAACUUCGUG